rnacentral:rRNA from 1 species
CCCUUCGGGGGGUGUGGUUGGGGGGAGCGUGGGACCCGAUCCGGUAGUAGGCAAGCGAUGGGGUGACGCAGGAGGGUAGUCCCGCCAGGCGUUGGUUGUCCUGGUGUAAGCCGGUAGCCCGACAUCCAGGUAAAUCCGGGUGUCUGAGUUUGAUCUCGGGGGUGAGAGGUGAUGCAUAGCCGAUUGAGGCGAAGUAGGGUGAUCCCAUGCUGCCGAGAAAAGCCUCUAGCGAGUGCUGUUGCGGCCCGUACCCUAAACCGACACAGGUGGUCAGGUAGAGAAUACCGAGGCGAUCGAGUGAACUGUGGUUAAGGAACUCGGCAAAAUACCUCCGUAACUUCGGGAGAAGGAGGACCGUCUGGCUUGAAGCCCCGUUGCGGGCUAGGGCUGGGUGGUCGCAGAGACCAGGCCCAAGCGACUGUUUACUAAAAACACAGGUCCGUGCGAAGUCGCAAGACGAUGUAUACGGACUGACGCCUGCCCGGUGCUGGAACGUUAAGAGGACCUGUUAGUCCCUUCGGGGGCGAAGCGGAGAAUUUAAGCGCCAGUAAACGGCGGUGGUAACUAUAACCAUCCUAAGGUAGCGAAAUUCCUUGUCGGGUAAGUUCCGACCUGCACGAAUGGCGUAACGACUUGGGCGCUGUCUCGACCACAGACUCGGCGAAAUUGCACUACGAGUAAAGAUGCUCGUUACGCGCGGCAGGACGGAAAGACCCCGGGACCUUUACUAUAGCUUGGUAUUGGUGCUCGGUUCGGCUUGUGUAGGAUAGGUGGGAGACUGUGAAGUGGCCACGCCAGUGGUUGUGGAGUCGUUGUUGAAAUACCACUCUGGUCGAAUUGGGUGUCUCAACCUCGGGCCAUGAUCUGGUUCAGGGACAGUGCCUGGUGGGUAGUUUAACUGGGGCGGUUGCCUCCCAAAAUGUAACGGAGGCGCCCAAAGGUUCCCUCAGCCUGGUUGGCAAUCAGGUGUUGAGUGUAAGUGCACAAGGGAGCUUGACUGUGAGACUGACAGGUCGAGCAGGGACGAAAGUCGGGACUAGUGAUCCGGCACCUCCUGGUGGAAGGGGUGUCGCUCAACGGAUAAAAGGUACCCCGGGGAUAACAGGCUGAUCUUGCCCAAGAGUCCAUAUCGACGGCAUGGUUUGGCACCUCGAUGUCGGCUCGUCGCAUCCUGGGGCUGGAGUAGGUCCCAAGGGUUGGGCUGUUCGCCCAUUAAAGCGGUACGCGAGCUGGGUUUAGAACGUCGUGAGACAGUUCGGUCCCUAUCCGCCGCGCGCGUAGGAGACUUGAGGAAGGCUGUCCCUAGUACGAGAGGACCGGGAUGGACGAACCUCUGGUGUGCCAGUUGUCCCGCCAGGGGCACGGCUGGUUGGCUAUGUUCGGAAGGGAUAACCGCUGAAGGCAUCUAAGCGGGAAGCUCGUUCCAAGAUGAGGUCUCCCACCACCUUGCGUGGUUAAGGCCCCCCACAGACCAUGGGGUUGAUAGGCCAGAGAUGGAAGCCUGUGAGGGGUGGAGUUGACUGGUACUAAUAGGCCGAGGGCUUGACCG